rnacentral:rRNA from 1 species
GUCUAUGGCUAUACCUCCCUGAAUGUGCCCAAUCCCGUCUGAUCUUGGAAACUAAGCAGGGUCGGGCCUGGUUAGUACUUGGAUGGGAGACCACCCAGGAAGACCAGGAGCUGGAGGCA